CGUGGAGACAGGUGGUGCAUGGCUGUCGUCAGCUCGUGUCGUGAGAUGUUGGGUUAAGUCCCGCAACGAGCGCAACCCUCACCCCUUGUUGCCAUCAGGUCACGCUGGGCACUCUGGGGGAACUGCCCCGGUCAACGGGGAGGAAGGUGGGGACGACGUCAAGUCAUCAUGCCCCUUACGCCCUGGGCUACACACGUGCUACAAUGGCCGGUACAAAGGGAUGCAAGACCGUGAGGUGGAGCUAAACCCAAAAAGCCGGUCUAAGUUCAGAUUGGAGUCUGCAACUCGACUCCAUGAAGGAGGAAUCGCUAGUAAUCGCGCAUCAGCACGGCGCGGUGAAUACGUUCCCGGGCCUUGUACACACCGCCCGUCACACCACGAAAGCCAGCUGUACUCGAAGUCGCUGAG
rnacentral:rRNA from 1 species